GAUGAACGCUAGCGACAGGCUUAACACAUGCAAGUCGAGGGGCAUCGGGGAGUAGCAAUACUCUGCCGGCGACCGGCGCACGGGUGCGUAACGCGUAUGCAACUUACCUUACAGAGGGGGAUAACCCGUUGAAAGACGGACUAACACCGCAUAUUCUUAUAUUAUCGCAUGAUAGAGUAAGGAAAUAUUUAUAGCUGUAAGAUAGGCAUGCGUCCCAUUAGCUAGUUGGUAGGGGUAACGGCUCACCAAGGCAACGAUGGGUAGGGGAACUGAGAGGUUUAUCCCCCACACUGGUACUGAGACACGGACCAGACUCCUACGGGAGGCAGCAGUGAGGAAUAUUGGUCAAUGGGCGAGAGCCUGAACCAGCCAAGUCGCGUGAAGGAUGAAGGUCUUAUGGAUUGUAAACUUCUUUUGCGGGAGAAUAACGGGCGCUACGAGUAGUGUUAUGAAUGUAUCCCAGCGAAUAAGCAUCGGCUAACUCCGUGCCAGCAGCCGCGGUAAUACGGAGGAUGCGAGCGUUAUCCGGAUUUAUUGGGUUUAAAGGGUGCGUAGGCGGCUUUUUAAGCCAGCGGUGAAAGGUUCGGGCUCAACCCGGACAUUGCCGUUGAAACUGGGGAGCUUGAGUAUGGAUGAGGUAGGCGGAAUGCGUGGUGUAGCGGUGAAAUGCAUAGAUAUCACGCAGAACUCCGAUUGCGAAGGCAGCUUACUAAGGCAUUACUGACGCUGAAGCACGAAAGCGUGGGUAUCAAACAGG
rnacentral:rRNA from 1 species